UCCUCAGCGACGGACCGG
rnacentral:snRNA from 1 species